rnacentral:rRNA from 1 species
CCUACGGGAGGCUGCAGUGAGGAAUAUUGGUCAAUGGACGAGAGUCUGAACCAGCCAAGUAGCGUGAAGGAUGACUGCCCUAUGGGUUGUAAACUUCUUUUAUAUGGGAAUAAAAUGUUCCACGUGUGGGAUUUUGUAUGUACCAUAAGAAUAAGGAUCGGCUAACUCCGUGCCAGCAGCCGAGGUAAUACGGAGGAUCCGAGCGUUAUCCGGAUUUAUUGGGGUUAAAGGGAGCGUAGGUGGAUUGUUAAGUCAGUUGUGAAAGUUUGCGGCUCAACCGUAAAAUUGCAGUUGAAACUGGCAGUCUUGAGUACAGUAGAGGUGGGCGGAAUUCGUGGUGUAGCGGUGAAAUGCUUAGAUAUCACGAAGAACUCCGAUUGCGAAGGCAGUUCACUGGACUGCAACUGACACUGAGGCUCGAAAGUGUGGGUAUCAAACAGGAUUAGAUACCCUUGUAGUC